GACGAACGCUGGCGGCGUGCUUAACACAUGCAAGUCGAACGGAAAGGCCCUGCUUUUGUGGGGUGCUCGAGUGGCGAACGGGUGAGUAACACGUGAGUAACCUGCCCUUGACUUUGGGAUAACUUCAGGAAACUGGGGCUAAUACCGGAUAGGAGCUCCUGCUGCAUGGUGGGGGUUGGAAAGUUUCGGCGGUUGGGGAUGGACUCGCGGCUUAUCAGCUUGUUGGUGGGGUAGUGGCUUAUCAAGGCUUUGACGGGUAGCCGGCCUGAGAGGGUGACCGGCCACAUUGGGACUGAGAUACGGCCCAGACUCCUACGGGAGGCAGCAGUGGGGAAUAUUGCACAAUGGGCGGAAGCCUGAUGCAGCAACGCCGCGUGCGGGAUGACGGCCUUCGGGUUGUAAACCGCUUUCGCCUGUGACGAAGCGUGAGUGACGGUAAUGGGUAAAGAAGCACCGGCUAACUACGU
rnacentral:rRNA from 1 species